GAANUUAAGCAUAUCAAUAAGCGGAGGAAAAGAAACCAACAGGGAUUGCCUCAGUAACGGCGAGUGAAGCGGCAAAAGCUCAAAUUUGAAAUCUGGCCUCACGGUCCGAGUUGUAAUUUGUAGAGGAUGUUUCGAACGUGGUCCGGUCUAAGUUCCUUGGAACAGGACGUCAUAGAGGGUGAGAAUCCCGUAUGUGCCCGGGUGCCAUUGUUCAUGUGAAGCUCCUUCGACGAGUCGAGUUGUUUGGGAAUGCAGCUCAAAAUGGGUGGUAAAUUUCAUCUAAAGCUAAAUACUGGCCAGAGACCGAUAGCGCACAAGUAGAGUGAUCGAAAGAUGAAAAGCACUUUGGAAAGAGAGUUAAACAGUACGUGAAAUUGUUGAAAGGGAAGCGCUUGCAAUCAGACUUGCAUGCAGUCGAUCAUCCGAUGUUCUCACCGGUGCACUCGAUUGUAUUCAGGCCAGCAUCGGUUUUGGUGGUUGGAUAAAGGCCUCAGGAACGUGGCUCCCCUCGGGGAGUGUUAUAGCCUGAGGUGCAAUGCAGCCUACUGGGACCGAGGACCGCGCUUCGGCUAGGAUGCUGGCGUAAUGGUUGUAAGCGACCCGUCUUGAAACACGGACCAAGGAGUCUAACAUCUAUGCGAGUGUUUGGGUGUAAAACCCAUACGCGUAAUGAAAGUGAACGGAGGUGAGAACCCUUAAGGGUGCAUCAUCGACCGAUCCUGAAGUCUUCGGAUGGAUUUGAGUAAGAGCAUAGCUGUUGGGACCCGAAA
rnacentral:rRNA from 1 species